GACAGAGGGUGCGAACGUUGCUCGGAAUCACUGGGCGUAAAGCGCGUGUAGGCGGACCAGCAAGUCAGGUGUGAAAUCCCUGGGCUCAACCUAGGAACUGCAUCUGAAACUGCUGGUCUUGAGUGUCGGAGAGGGAAGCGGAAUUCCUGGUGUAGAGGUGAAAUUCGUAGAUAUUCGGAGGAACACCAGUGGCGAAGGCGGCUCACUGGCUCGAUACUGACGCUGAGGUGCGAAAGUGUGGGGAGCAAACAGGAUUAGAUACCCGGGUAGUCC
rnacentral:rRNA from 1 species